CAGCAGCAGCCACGGGAAUACAGAGGGUGCGAGCGUUAAUCGGAUUUACUGGGCGUAAAGCGUGCGUAGGCGGCUUCUUAAGUCGGAUGUGAAAUCCCUGAGCUUAACUUAGGAAUUGCAUUCGAUACUGGGAAGCUAGAGUAUGGGAGAGGAUGGUAGAAUUCCAGGUGUAGCGGUGAAAUGCGUAGAGAUCUGGAGGAAUACCGAUGGCGAAGGCAGCCAUCUGGCCUAAUACUGACGCUGAGGUACGAAAGCAUGGGGAGCAAACAGGAUUAGAUACCCCUGUAGUCCCUGUCUCUUAUAA
rnacentral:rRNA from 1 species